rnacentral:rRNA from 1 species
GACUGCUAUCGGAUGAUACUAAGCCAUGCGAGUCUUUGUAGUAAUACAAGGCAGACGGCUCAGUAACACGUAGUCAACCUACCCUAUGGACAAGAAUAAUCUCGGGAAACUGGGCAUAAUUCUUGAUAGAUCAUAAUGCCUGGAAUGGUUUAUGGUUAAAAUGAUUCGUCGCCAUAGGAUGGGACUGCGGCCUAUCAGCUUGUUGGUGAGGUAAUGGCCCACCAAGGCGAUUACAGGUACGGGCUCUGAGAGGAGAAGCCCGGAGAUGGGUACUGAGACACGGACCCAGGCCCUAUGGGGCGCAGCAGGCGAGAAAACUUUGCAAUGUGCGAAAGCACGACAAGGUUAAUCCGAGUGAUUUCUGCUAAAGAAAUCUUUUGCCAGUCAUAAAACCACUGGUGAAUAAGGGGUGGGCAAGUUCUGGUGUCAGCCGCCGCGGUAAAACCAGCACCUCAAGUGGUCAGGAUGAUUAUUGGGCCUAAAGCAUCCGUAGCCGGCUUUGUAAGUUUUCGGUUAAAUCCAUGUGCUCAACGCAUGGGCUGCCGAAAAUACUGCAUGGCUAGGGAGUGGGAGAGGUAGACGGUACUCAGUAGGAAGGGGUAAAAUCCUUUGAUCUAUUGAUGACCACCUGUGGCGAAGGCGGUCUACCAGAACACGUUCGACGGUGAGGGAUGAAAGCUGGGGGAGCAAACCGGAUUAGAUACCCGGGUAGUCCCAGCUGUAAACGAUGCAGACUCGAUGAUGCAUUGGCAUAAUAGCCAGUGCAGUGUCGCAGGGAAGCCGUUAAGUCUGCCGCCUGGGAAGUACGUACGCAAGUAUGAAACUUAAAGGAAUUGGCGGGGGAGCACCACAAGGGGUGAAGCCUGCGGUUCAAU